rnacentral:rRNA from 1 species
GACGAACGCUGGCGGCGUGCUUAACACAUGCAAGUCGAACGGUGAAGGGGUCUGCUUUUGUGGGCCCUGGAUGAGUGGCGAACGGGUGAGUAACACGUGAGUAACCUGCCCCCUUCUUCUGGAUACCCGCAUGAAAUUGUGGCUAUUACGGGUUAUUCUGGGUUUUUGGCUUGUUGGGUCUGGGAAAGUUUGCGCCUUUGGGGGUUUUGGGUGGGGAUUGGGUUCGCGGCCUAUCAGCUUGUUGGUGGGGUGAUGGCCUACCAAGGCGGUGACGGGUAGCCGGCCUGAGAGGGUGGACGGUCACACUGGGACUGAGACACGGCCCAGACUCCUACGGGAGGCAGCAGUGGGGAAUAUUGCACAAUGGGCGCAAGCCUGAUGCAGCGACGCCGCGUGAGGGAUGGAGGCCUUCGGGUUGUAAACCUCUUUCGCCAGUGAAGCAGGCCUGCUCCUUGUGGGUGGGUUGACGGUAGCUGGAUAAGAAGCGCCGGCUAACUACGUG